rnacentral:rRNA from 1 species
GACGAACGCUGGCGGCGUGCUUAACACAUGCAAGUCGAACGCUGAAGCUCAGCUUUUGUUGGGUGGAUGAGUGGCGAACGGGUGAGUAACACGUGAGUAACCUGCCCCCUUCUUUGGGAUAACGCCCGGAAACGGGUGCUAAUACUGGAUAUUCACUGGUCUUCGCAUGGGGGUUGGUGGAAAGGGUUUUUCUGGUGGGGGAUGGGCUCGCGGCCUAUCAGCUUGUUGGUGGGGUGAUGGCCUACCAAGGCUUUGACGGGUAGCCGGCCUGAGAGGGUGACCGGUCACAUUGGGACUGAGAUACGGCCCAGACUCCGACGGGAGGCAGCAGUGGGGAAUAUGGCACAAUGGGCGCAAGCCUGAUGCAGCGACGCCGCGUGAGGGAUGGAGGCCUUCGGGUUGUGAACCUCUUUCGCUCAUGGUCAAGCCGCAACAAUGGUUGUGGUGAGGGUAGUGGGUAAAGAAGCGCCGGCUAACUACGUG